CCAUGUCUCCUCUCACUUGUGUUCUUUCCAGACUAAAAAGCUCCAGGUUUUUCAACCUUUACUUGUAGAAGAGCUCCUCCAGACCCUUGAUUUGCUGACAAUGAGAUCUUCUCUGUACCAGCUGUUUAGCCUACUGGCUUGUCAAGGCACAGUNGGGGGACUGGAAAAGGAACUGGCCACUGGAGUACGGUCAACAGGAGUUUGCCAUGCUGGAAGGGGAUACUGCUUGCCACGCAGAUUUGCCUGCUCCUUAGGUUUUGUGUUCAAGGAAACAUACAACUGCCCCAACCCAGCAGCAACAAAAUGCUGUCUUGGCAGAAAAAUUGGAUAGGAAGCGUCUGCAGAGCCUGAAAGGAAUGUUCUUCAAUCAAGAAAAAUAACUUGCUUCAUUCUAUCCAAUAAAGUCACCUUUGAAUUGCA
rnacentral:lncRNA from 1 species